UGUCAAAGUCUUCAGCUGGCAAAUGAACCAACCUACAGGAACCACUUAGGCCCAGACCCAGUCGCUCUCCAUACAAUGGAACUAAUGAAACCACUGACUGAAUCGGGAGUGAUUGCGGUGUUUUUUAAAAUAUAAAUAAGUCUGGUUCUUAAUAAAUAUUUUCUUACAAUCUG